rnacentral:rRNA from 1 species
UCCCACCCGUGUUUACUGUAACCUUAGUUGCUUCGGCGGGCCCGCCUUUAAGGCCGCCGGGGGGCAUCAGCCCCCGGGCCCGCGCCCGCCGGAGACACCACGAACUCUGUCUGAUCUAGUGAAGUCUGAGUUGAUUGUAUCGCAAUCAGUUAAAACUUUCAACAAUGGAUCUCUUGGUUCCGGCAUCGAUGAAGAACGCAGCGAAAUGCGAUAACUAGUGUGAAUUGCAGAAUUCCGUGAAUCAUCGAGUCUUUGAACGCACAUUGCGCCCCCUGGUAUUCCGGGGGGCAUGCCUGUCCGAGCGUCAUUGCUGCCCAUCAAGCACGGCUUGUGUGUUGGGUCGUCGUCCCCUCUUCGGGGGGGACGGGCCCCAAAGGCAGCGGCGGCACCGCGUCCGAUCCUCGAGCGUAUGGGGCUUUGUCACCCGCUCUGUAGGCCCGGCCGGCGCUUGCCGAACGCAAAACAACCAUUCUUUCCAGGUUGACCUCGGAUCAGGUAGGGAUACCCGCUGAACUUAAGCAUAUCAAUAAGCGGAGGA